UUCUGCUGUAAUAAGUGUUUUCAAACUAUUUGCACUAAUGAAUCAUGAACUGUAUAUGUUCCCAUAUGUGACUGGCUAAACCUCUUCACCUUCUCUGUUUGACUGCAAAACUUUUUAGGGGUACAGUAGACACUGUCUAUGUAAAAUGGUAAGAAUAGAUUUACUAUGGUUUUGUGCUCUGUCUCCUAGUGUAGUCUAGUGGCUGGAGGAACUAGGACCAAGCGACCAGAUACCCAUUCCGUGCUGGCAGCGGGGAUCUGCCAACAGCAAGGGACUGUCUAACCUCAUGCAGUGAAGUUCAGUAGCAGACAUUGAAGAGUUGAGCGAACACCAUGAAUGCCAUCCCAUGCCAGGCCUGCUGCAAUUGGUGGUUCACUACAUUCAAAAGCUCCACCUACCAAAUCUUUCCACAAGCAAUUCAAAACAAAGACCAGAAGAAUGCAAAAAGAUUCUAACUGAUCUGCGUUCCAGAUUGCUGGAGUAUUAGUAUGCUGAUUCCUGUCAGUGAACUGUAAUGUACAGCAUUCUGAAAGAGCAUGAGCAAGCUCUGUGUGGACAAAGGAGCCAAACAAUCAGGGACAGAAGUGAGGGAAAAAUCUAUUGAGACCUGGAGUGACCCUGUAUGCAUUAGUGUUACUGCGGAUAUACAAUUUGGGUCAGAGGGAAACAAAUGUAAUAUUCAAGUGUAACACAUCAAGCCUCCAGUAGUAUAGCAUAAGACAAAGAUAAUGAUAAGAAAAAUCAAAUGUGUUGGUGAGGUAGAAGACAAUGGUAUACUGAAUUGAAAGAGGGAGGGGAAAGAAAUUAACUUAGUGUCAAGCAAUAUUAAGCAGUAACAAAACAACGGGAGAAUUUGCAAUAGCCGUGUCACUGAUGUGAGAGAAAAUGGACCUACAGCAUGUCCAUAGGGUAGGUAUAGGUUGAACCACAGCGAGCUGUUGGAAGGGAAGAAUGGGAAGUUGGCACAAUUACAUCUGUUUUCUCAUGCACAGGACUCUGGGGAGCUCCAGUCGACACAAGUGCACCCCCUUCAAUUUCAGUGGUCAGCAUGCAGGAAGCCAGAGAGCACAAAUAGGCUAGUUGCAGUGUGUUUCUUCCAGUAAAUCAUCUGUGGUGCAGGCAGAGAAAUACUGGGCUUGUCAUUAGUGUAGUCCUUGUCCCAGCCUUCUGCCCAGCUUCAUGCUGACAGUAACAGAAAUCUUUCCUAUUUGCACAGCCUGACUGCUGCCUUCUUCAGUUCGCUGGCUUUGCAGAGGUUUUUCUUAAAGGUAUGAAGAAUAUGUUUCUAUGGGCAGGAUCAGGUAUUGGGGGAUGGCUGGUUGUUCUGCAGAAAAUGUUAAUGUGUUUUCUGUUGUUCAUACUACUUGGAUUCCCCAACUGGUACAAGUGCCUUUGAUGUCAGUUGACCUACAUAAGCAGAGACCAAUUGAGGGAAUUCAUAAUAUGUUUGAAUAUGAUGUUUAUACCUUCAAGACUCUGAAUAUGGGUGUUCUUUUUCUUCCUAUUGUCAGUCUUUUUUCUUUUGAAAUCAUUUCAACAGUCCCUGAAGCUUGUGUAAGUUCAGAGAGGCUGCUGUCUGUUUUAAACUGAGGUGAAUGUGUGAUUCUGAGAUUGAAUAAUUGAUGAUGAAGUUGGAUAUUAAAGACAACAUUUCUGAAGCUGUUGAAAGUGCCGGAAAAUCUUUGUGCUCCAAUUAACGUGGCUGUAAUGAUAAUAGUCCACUUGAUAUCAAAGCUUUUGCAAACUCUUCAUAUGAAGAUCUGGUUAGCAGAAAUUAGUGGUGGCAUAGGAGCUACUUCAGAUCUUAAGAAGUAUUGAGUUACUAAAAGGAGAACAGUUUUCUAAGGAUAUGGGAACAGUAGUGUCAUUGGAGCAGGCUGCAGUAGAGGACUGAAAGGUAAAUGGACCUUCAGUUAUGCUCUAAACUCAUUAAUGUGUGACUCAGCAGAUUUUUGUACAAGAAUGCAACAUGUGUUGGCAAUACAUUACACAUGUGAAUGCACUGUUUUCAGCUGAGGGUGUUGUGGUUAUGCUUCUCUGCUUUUGCGUUAAGAAUGUUUGACAAGAGAUCGUAAAAAAUCUCUCCCCAAGGGAUUGUGCAUCCAUUAGUAGGCAAAUUGGCUGCCUGGCUUCUGCUCAGCUGCUUAUCCUAUUUAAAGCUCCUAAGGAUUACUGCAGGAUGGAAGGGCUUUUACUUCUAGGACCGUAAGGGGGUUUGAUCUGUGAAUCACCUUUCCAAGUUGAAGUUACAAGUGAUUUUUUUUUUUUCUAAGAACUUGAAAAGCAGGGGGAAAUUAUCUGUUUAACUGUCAGACACUGCUUGAAGUGUGAUACCUAAGACUUAAUUUUAAAGCCAGGCUCAUUAAUAACAGAGAAAUAACCCCAGUGGUCUUGCCAAAACUAAAGUAAUACUGGCGCUGAUGUUCUCUGACCAAAUGCUGUUGCACAAUGUGCCUUUUCCAAUGGCUGUCCCCUUCAUGUUACUUCUGUGUAUACAGGAAAGGGCAAUUAACAUGUUGUUUUCACCUUCUGCAGUGACUAGUUCACCAGUUCAUCUGUUGCCUCCAUGUUUGAAGUCUAGUGUAGGAUUUCUUAAUAUUUCUCUCUUUUUGUAUCUCUGAUCUUGUUUCAUCCUAGCAAUUAUUUUGUCCCUUGGACCAUCUUCUUAUGUCUCUCUCUUGCUUGCUUGCUUUUGCCACCACUGGUUUUUAUGUACCUGGCCAAGCCUGAAACUUUCUUACCCUCUUUUUCUGGCAGAAGAUGUCUCUGUGCCUAAAAAAAACCUUGUAAGAGAGGCAAAUCUCUUUGCAGAAUCAAAACCGCUCUGUGACAACGUACUUUUGAAAGGACUACCUAAAGGUAUUCACCUGCAGGGGAUUGAAAAAGCCACACUGAAAUUACAGGGAUAACAGCAUGUACUGGGAAUGGGGAAUGCUGGCUUUUUAUCAGCAGUGAAUUGGCUGUGCUGCUGUGCUGGAGCAGUAUUCUGAAGUGAGCCAACUGCAGAUCAUCUUUCACAAAUACUUUUUGCUUUCUAACUAUAUCAUGCUCUGUUACCGUCUGACACCUGUGCUUCAGUCACUUAUUUUUCAGCAGUCAGUCUGGCAGAAGUUUUUAUUUCCCUUCUUCCUUUCUGUGUGUGCUGUGGCCUGUCUGGAUUAUUUGAGCAUAGUACAGUGAGCCGCAGAGCUU